GAGGAUGUAGCUCAGUGGUAGAGCACUUGCCUAGCAUGUGCAAGGCCCUGGGUUCCAUCACCAGUACCACA
rnacentral:tRNA from 1 species